AGAGUUUGAUCAUGGCUCAGAACGAACGCUGGCGGCGUGGAUAAGACAUGCAAGUCGAACGGGACUUUCUUUGGUAGCAAUACCGGAGAAAGUUUAGUGGCGAACGGGUGCGUAACACGUGGGCAAUCUGCCGAGAAGUGGGGGAAUAGCUCGCCGAAAGGCGAAUUAAUACCGCAUGUGAUCAGGGAAGACAUCUUUCCGACAUCAAAGCCGGGGCAACCUGGCGCUUCUUGAUGAACCCGCGGCCUAUCAGCUAGUUGGUGAGGUAACGGCUCACCAAGGCUAUGACGGGUAGCUGGUCUGAGAGGACGACCAGCCACACUGGAACUGAGACACGGUCCAGACACCUACGGGUGGCAGCAGUCGAGAAUUUUUCUCAAUGGGGGAAACCCUGAAGGAGCGACGCCGCGUGGAGGAUGAAGGCUUUCGGGUUGUAAACUCCUGUCAUUUGAGAACAAGGUGCACAUGUUAACUGUAUGUGCAUUGAUAGUAUCAGAAGAGGAAGAGACGGCUAACUCUGUGCCAGCAGCCGCGGUAAUACAGAGGUCUCAAGCGUUGUUCGGAUUCAUUGGGCGUAAAGGGUGCGUAGGUGGCGCGCUAAGUCAGGUGUGAAAUUUCGGAGCUUAACUCCGAAACUGCAUUUGAUACUGGCGUGCUUGAGGACUGGAGAGGAGACUGGAAUUCAUGGUGUAGCAGUGAAAUGCGUAGAGAUCAUGAGGAAGACCAGUGGCGAAGGCGGGUCUCUGGACAGUUCCUGACACUGAGGCACGAAGGCCAGGGGAGCAAACGGGAUUAGAUACCCCAGUAGUCC
rnacentral:rRNA from 1 species